rnacentral:tRNA from 1 species
GAGUGGCUCAGUGGUGGAGCGUCUCCUUGCCAAGGAGAAGGUCGCGGGUUCGACUCCCGUCUCG